rnacentral:lncRNA from 1 species
UAAUCCAUCAUUUUGAGAUUUUCUUUCCAUGGUUAUGUUCUACUCUAUGAGAUCUACAUUUUUGUUUUUUAUUUCAUUUGAUUUCAUGGAUUGUGGAGGAAGUUGUGUGAGCUUGAACUUGCUAUGUUAGAUGCAUGGAGUUAGGGUUUUUGUGUCAUGCAUGAGUUUGGUGUGAGGUUGAAGAUGAUAAUGAGCCCUCUUAUGAUUGGCUGGCCCGUUCUUUUGUCUUUUGUGACU